AUGGCUGGUGGAGGGUUCGCCGUGGCCGAUGCCCCGUCGGGCGACUACGGCGGCGGCAUAACCUUCUCCGUCGUGGUCACCUGCCUCAUGGCAGCCUCCGGUGGCCUCAUCUUCGGCUAUGACAUCGGCAUCUCAGGCGGCGUGACGGCGAUGGAGUCAUUCCUGGAGGAAUUCUUCCCGGGCGUGCUCAGACGGAUGGCGGCGGCGCGGCGGGACCAGUACUGCGUCUACGACAGCCACGUGCUCACGGCGUUCACGUCGUCGCUGUACCUGGCGGGGCUGGUCGCGUCGCUCGCGGCUGGCCGGGUCACCAGGGCGGUCGGGAGACAGGCAGUCAUGCUAGCUGGCGGCGCGUUCUUCUUCGCCGGCGCCGCCGUGAACGCCGCAGCAGUGAACAUUGCCAUGCUCAUCGUCGGCCGUAUGCUGCUCGGCUUCGGCAUCGGCUUCACCAACCAGGCGGCGCCGGUGUACCUGGCGGAGACGGCGCCGGCCAAGUGGAGGGGCGCCUUCACGACGGGGUUCCAGCUCUUCCUUGGCAUCGGCAACCUCGCGGCCAACCUGACGAACUACGGCGCCGCGCGCAUACCGCGGUGGGGCUGGCGGCUCUCCCUCGGCCUGGCGGCGGUGCCGGCGGCCGUCAUCUUCGUGGGCGCCCUGCUCAUCCCGGACACUCCCAGCAGCCUCAUCGUGCGCGGGCGGGUGGAGCAGGCGCGCGCCGCGCUCCGGCGUGUCCGCGGCCCCAAGGCCGACGUGGACGCCGAGCUGGAGGACGUGGCCCGCGCGGUCGGGGUGGCGCGGUCCAACGAGCAGGGCGCGUUCCGGAGGAUCCUCGGGAGGGAGUACCGCCCGCACCUGGUGAUGGCCGUGGCGGUGCCGCUCUUCCAGCAGCUCACCGGGGUCAUCGUCAUCGCCUUCUUCUCGCCGGUGCUGUUCCAGACGGCCGGGUUCGGGAGCAACGCCGCGCUGAUGGGCGCCGUCAUUCUCGGCGCCGUCAACCUGGGCUCCGCCCUCGUGUCCGUCGCCACCGUGGACCGCUACGGUCGCAGGCCGCUGUUCUUGGCUGGUGGGCUCGUCAUGAUCAUGUGCCAGGUUGCGGUUGCGUGGAUCAUGGGGUCGCAGAUCGGCCGUGACGGCGAGUUCGCGAUGGCGAGAAAGUACUCCGUCGCGGUGCUGGCUCUGACGUGCGUGUUCUCGGCGUCGUUCGGGUGGUCGUGGGGUCCCCUGACGUGGGUGAUCCCCGGCGAGAUAUUCCCGGUGGAGGUCCGGUCGGCCGGGCAGGGCAUCAGCGUGGCCGUCAACCUCGGCGCCACCUUCGUGCUCACGCAGACCUUCCUCUCCAUGCUGUGCAGCUUCAAGUACGCCACGUUCAUCUACUACGCGGCCUGGGUCGCCGUCAUGACGGCCUUCGUGGUGGCAUUCCUGCCGGAGACCAAGGGGGUGCCCCUCGAGGCCAUGGGCGCGGUCUGGGCGCGGCACUGGUACUGGGGACGCUUCGUCAAGGUGCAGCAGCCAGCCAAGAACACCGACGCGCUCAUAAACUGA
rnacentral:rRNA from 1 species